rnacentral:lncRNA from 1 species
UUAAAAUUAUCAUUAUUUCGUUAUUUUAACAAUCUCUCAGGUCAUUAUAUUAUGGUAAAUUUAAGAACACAAAGUCUUUGAAAACCUCAUACACAUUUUGACAAUUUAUGGCUCAGUCAACUAUCUUCAUUGUUCACAAGAUAAUGAAAUUCUUAAUUUGGCAAUAUUUACAAUGUAAAAAUUACCGACAUCGAAAUGAGUUUUCUCAACCGUUCUUGUUUAUACACUGUCCUCCAUUUUGUUUUUCAUCUGGUUGCGUAAAUGUUGCAACGCGGGAAAAGUUUUUUAAAUUUUCCUAUCUAAAAAGUGUUAAAAAAACAUUAAAAACUAUGUCAAUAAGUAGCGCAGACUGGGAAGAAUAUACAUACAGUGAUUGUUGCAAAUAAAGUUCAGUUCGCUCUUCGAUCGUAGCAGAGCAGAUAGCAGUUAUUAUCAACACAAGGUUCGCUGAUGAAAAAGAUGUAUAUAUAAAAAAUGUUGUGGAUGGAUUCGUCACUUCCUCGACAGACGCUAACCAUACUUCGAAAAGUGCUUUUACAUUUCAGGAGUCCAGAAACCUAAUCGAACAAAAUCACAUCCAGCUUUCAACUGCAGUGCAUGCUCAUAUUCAUUUAAUAUUAUGUCAUAUAACUACAAAAAGUUAAAUAAAACUGUUAUCUAUGUUAUAUUUGCAAAGAAACAAUAUAAUUAUCUCUAAAUACCAUAACGAUUUUACCAUGCUACAACACAAUCAAGAUAACCGUUUUUCUAGUAUAUUUAACGGAUUCAUAGUAGAUUUAUUAGUAGAGGCACCAACCUCGCAAAACCCUUGCCAUAAUGGUAAAAUAUACAAUUCUUGUUCUCAUAUCAAUAAUGAAAUCACUUCGGUUGAAAAACGUUGGUGCAAGUCUGUCAAUUCUAACCCCGAUUGUAGUAAUUUCCACCAUCAACCUU